GCCUAAAGCGUCCGUAGCCGGCUUUGUAAGUUUUCGGUUAAAUCUAUAUGCUCAACAUAUAGGCUGCCGGGAAUACUGCAAAGCUAGGGAGUGGGAGAGGUAGACGGUACUCCGUAGGAAGGGGUAAAAUCCUUUGAUCUAUGGAUGACCACCUGUGGCGAAGGCGGUCUACCAGAACACGUUCGACGGUGAGGGAUGAAAGCUGGGGGAGCAAACCGGAUUAGAUACCCGGGUAGUCCCAGCUGUAAACUAUGCAAACUCAGUGAUGCAUUGGCUUGUGGCCAGUGCAGUGCCGCAGGGAAGCCGUUAAGUUUGCCGCCUGGGAAGUACGUACGCAAGUAUGAAACUUAAAGGAAUUGGCGGGGGAGCACCACAAGGGGUGAAGCCUGCGGUUCAAUUGGAGUCAACGCCAGAAAUCUUACCCGGAGAGACAGCAGGAUGAAGGUCAAGCUGAAGACUUUACCAGACAAGCUGAGAAGUGGUGCAUGGCCGUCGCCAGCUCGUGCCGUGAGGUGUCCUGUUAAGUCAGGUAACGAGCGAGAUCCUUGCCUCUAGUUGCCACCAUUACUCUCAGGAGUAGUGGGGCGAAUUAGCGGGACUGCCGUAGUUAAUACGGAGGAAGGAGAGGGCCACGGCAGGUCAGUAUGCCCC
rnacentral:rRNA from 1 species